rnacentral:rRNA from 1 species
CAGCCAGCAGCUGCGGUAAUUCCAGCUCUGUAAGCGUAUACCAAAGUUGUUGCAGUUAAAACGCUCGUAGUCGGACCUUGGCGGGCGACCAGGGGCGUCUUCACGGACGUGUUUUGGUUGGCCGCCUUUGUGGAGGGGGGCCCAGUGGUGCUUCACUGCGCUACUGUGGUCGCUGCCACCUUUUACUGUGAAAAAAUUAGAGUGUUCAAAGCGGGCGUUUGCCAUGAAUACAUUAGCAUGGAAUAAUAGAAUAGGACCUGUUUCCUGUUUUGUUGGUUUGUGAGGAUCGGGUAAUGAUUAAGAGGGACGGUUGGGGGCAUUUGUAUUCCGGCGUCAGAGGUGAAAUUCUUGGAUUGUCGGAAG